AUUGUUGGUGAAGAUUGUUGUUGCCGGAGAGGUGAAAGGGGGGAGGCAGCCUGACCGGCUGCUGCUGUCUGUCGAGGGGCAGUGUUGGCGCCGGAUCUGGAAAGGGAGAUGACUGGGCUGCGCUGCUGUCGACGCGAGGGCGGCGAUGGUGGCUGCUGCUGUUGUAGACGAGACGGAGAUGAGGACGAAGUGGUGGCGCUGGCAGGCGGCGAAGAUCGCCGCCAGAGAAAGGGUGGACGCCGCUGUUGCGCGGUGAGGGGAAAUAGAGAGAGGGGAGGCGAGAGAUAAGGGAGAGGGAGAGAGGUCGAAGGGAAGGAAGAGAUGAGGGAAGAGGGAGAGAGGUUGAGGAGAGGACAGGGGGAGGCAGAGCCGCCGGCCUCCGGCGGCGGCGUGCCGUCAGGUGGCAGCGGCAGGGGGCCGAGAAGAGGAGAGGGAGGAGGGCUGA
rnacentral:lncRNA from 1 species